CAGCUGUGUGCCAACUUUCUUUCGCCUCCUGUGUACCUGGCCUAAUUAACUCCAUUCUUCACUCUUCAGUCAUCUCCACAUGUGGCAAUUUGGUCUUAAUGGGCUAUAGAAUGGGUGGCACGGGUCCAUUUGAAAAUGCCUUGUGCUGUAGAGCAGCUUGCAUGGUCCUGCAUAGGGGUCUCUGACAGCGUAGUAGGUGGCAGUGCUAUCUAAAAGGAAAUGCAUCUAGCUGGGCAUGCAUUUUGCUGAGUCAAGAAGGACGUAAGUGACUCACUGGGCUGUGUGGGAACCAGGACCAGAAUCCAAUUGGUGCACUAACCAGACAACCACGUCAGCCCAGAGAAACGCCUCAAUUCCAAAUGAGCCACCAGGAGCAGCUGCUGCCUAAUGGCACUUCAGCUUACCUCUAGUUCUCCUGGUCUGUUCUCUGACAUCCUGGAAGAGGUUGGUCUUCAUCUAGAACCAGAACCUCUAAUUCAAUCUCAUUUGAAGAGGAGGAAGCAAUGCAGGUGGCAACUGUCCUGAGAAAAUGGAUUGUAGACAGAGAUGUGCAGAUGUUAUUGUCCUGUUUCCUUGCAGCAGGCAAGUUACUUUUACAUGUUCUUAUUCUUUUCCCUUUAUUGAAGCUGUUAAAUACUAGGUUAUCAUAUUCUCCUGGUACAAAACUACAGGAUUGGAUUGUGUAAUAUUUGGCUUCAAUUAAGUCACUUAAUUUCUGUUUCUUCAUUUCCUAUCUGAAGAGAGAGAUGGCUUUAUUUUCUCUCUUCUCAUUUCAAGCUUAUUUGGGAUUCUUUUAGUGUUUGUAGGGGGAAUAGCUGUAGUUAUAACAGCUUAUGUAGUUAUAUACCCUUGUACCUAAAAGUCCAUGCUUACAAAUAACAGUAACACUGCUGUACUCUGUAGCCAUUUCUUCUGAGCAGGAAAGCCAACACAAGAAAGUGGGACUUUGCUUGAGUGAGGUGAGGCCAUGGAGUAAGUAGAGUCGUCGUCCAAGUCUGACACAUUCAGU
ensembl:lncRNA